rnacentral:rRNA from 1 species
AUGGAAGCAGACGGUGUGGCGUUCCAUUGCUGCAAAGAUGCAGUUUUUUUGUUAAGGAGGGGUUGUAGUAAUGCGUUUUUGGGGUGCAUUGGGAAAGGUCUUGGUGUUCUCAUGACUUGUGCACACUGCGUUGAGACCUUAAGGAUAGGAGAUACUAUAACAGCGUAUUCUAGGGGACUAAACAGCAACGGUUUCCAGGCUAAAAUCUUUGCUGUUGAUCCAGAUAAUGAUGUAGCCUUACUAGUUAUUUCUGCUAGUGAUAUCCCUGGUAAGGCAACAGCGCUGCAGUUCCAUGACACUCCGUUGUCUGUGACGGCUGGGAUGCGUGUCACCCUCUUGGGAUAUUUCAGUUUUGGAUCCCAUGUUCUUCGUCAGCCAGGCACAUCGCGAGGAACCAUCAUAGCACCACCUCUCUCUCUGCCUCGACGUCGAACCAGAGAAGAGAGGAGAACCGUGGGGGUGGCAAAGAAGAGAAUAGUGGGGGUCGCAAGCUACACCUCAAAGCCAGGGACAUCAGGCAGUCCAGUUUUGCAUGCGACCGUAGAUGAUGCAGGGGACCCAGCUUGCUAUGUCGUUGGUGUGCACUGUCGCUCGCAUCAUUCACUUAGAUACUCUGUGAGUUUGGCUUGUAUCAAGGAGACUCUUCUCAAUUGGCUUGGGGAACAAUACAAGGAGAUGAACAUAAACGAGCUCUUAUGUGUAAUGCUCUCUCAGCAUGUGGCUAACAAUGCCUAA